UACGAGUGCCCCGAGCGUUGUCCGGAAUCAUUGGGCGUAAAGCGCGUGUAGGCGGUUCGGUAAGUCUGCUGUGAAAGUCGGGGGCCCAACCCUCGAAUGCCGGUGGAUACUGUCGGACUAGAGUGCGGAAGAGGCGAGUGGAAUUCCUGGUGUAGCGGUGAAAUGCGCAGAUAUCAGGAGGAACACCAAUUGCGAAGGCAGCUCGCUGGGACGUUACUGACGCUGAGACGCGAAAGCGUGGGGAGCAAACAGG
rnacentral:rRNA from 1 species